CACUGCUUCCCGAGGCCACAUGCUUCUUUAUAUCCCCAUAUGGAUUACGUUGCUAUGGAAUGUAAGGAAGUGUGUGGUUUCGCGAGUGCCUCUUC
ensembl:miRNA